CGCCGCGAGCCCGCGCCCCCGCCAGCUCGGAGCGGCUUUGCUCCGCCCGACCGCUGCGCGCCCAGGAAAAUCCCCCCCGCUGCCACCCGCCGCCGGCGCCCGGUGAUGUCAUUGUUUGUGGAAAUCUGCACAGCUCCGGGCAGGGAAUUACGGUGUAUUCAGACUCUCUAGGAAGAAGACUUCAGAUCCACACACUAUCAAGUCAAGGAAAAUCUGCUAUGUCAGAGAUGGGGAACAGGGCAAACCAUAGUCAUCCCUAGGAGGGUCCCUUCUGGACCUGUGCAUAUUGUUUGAACCACUGAAGAAGGUUUGUCCUCAUAUUGCAGUUUGGUGCAAAAUGAAUGGUGCAGAACAAUACUGACAGGUUCAGUGAUAGGGAGACAUGUACAAGGAAGACCUGGCCACUUUCCUCAGCAAGAACAGAUGAAUGAAUAAGGAAAAUGAGCUUGUGCCUUUUAGCUGAGGUGAUUUGUCAAAAGCCCACAGCACUGUGGCUGUUCCCAGACUUUAAGGGUUAUACUCAACCUCA
rnacentral:lncRNA from 1 species